UACGGGGGGGGCAAGCGUUGUUCGGAAUUACUGGGCGUAAAGGGCUCGUAGGCGGCCAACUAAGUCAGACGUGAAAUCCCCAGGCUCAACCUGGGAACUGCGUCUGAUACUGGAUGGCUUGAAUUCGGGAGAGGGAUGCAGAAUUCCAGGUGUAGCGGUGAAAUGCGUAGAUAUCUGGAGGAAUACCGGUGGCGAAGGCGACUCUUUGGCCUGUAACUGACGCUGAGGCGCGAAAGCGUGGGGAGCAAACAGG
rnacentral:rRNA from 1 species